GCAAUUAACAACUUUUUCUAAAACCUGGUCCUUUUUCCAACCCACUGUUUCUGUAACCUCACUAUCUCUUAUUCAACUCUACCCCAAUGGAUACAAUUUAGCUUUUCUUGUAGUAAAUAGUUGGCUUUAAUACUGUAAGGUGAGAACAAAAAUUAAACUCUAUGAUUUUUUUAAUUCUUCGCUGAGAUUUAGUUCACCUUGAA
rnacentral:lncRNA from 1 species